CAGUAGCCGCGGUAAAACGUAGGGUGCGAGCGUUAAUCGGAAUUACUGGGCGUAAAGCGUGCGCAGGCGGUUUUGUAAGACAGGCGUGAAAUCCCCGGGCUCAACCUGGGAAUGGCGCUUGUGACUGCAAAGCUAGAGUGCGGCGGAGGGGGAUGGAAUUCCGCGUGUAGCAGUGAAAUGCGUAGAUAUGCGGAGGAACACCGAUGGCGAAGGCAAUCCCCUGGGCCUGCACUGACGCUCAUGCACGAAAGCGUGGGGAGCAAACAGGAUUAGAUACCCCCGUAGUCCCUGUCUCUUAUAC
rnacentral:rRNA from 1 species